rnacentral:rRNA from 1 species
CCGAGUUGUAAUUUGCAGAGGAUGCUUCGGGUUCGGUUCCGGUCUAAGUCCUUGGAACAGGACGUCAUAGAGGGUGAGAAUCCCGUAUGUGACCGGCCGCCACGCCCGUGUGAAGCUCCUUCGACGAGUCGAGUUGUUUGGGAAUGCAGCUCAAAAUGGGUGGUAAAUUUCAUCUAAAGCUAAAUAUUGGCCAGAGACCGAUAGCGCACAAGUAGAGUGAUCGAAAGAUGAAAAGCACUUUGGAAAGAGAGUCAAACAGUACGUGAAAUUGUUGAAAGGGAAGCGCUUGCAACCAGACUUGCCCGCGGGUGAUCAGCCGGUAUUCUUACCGGUGCACUCACCCGCGGUCAGGCCAGCAUCGGUUCGGGCGGCUGGAUAAAGUCCGCUGGAAUGUAGCUCCUCUCGGGGAGUGUUAUAGCCAGCGGUGCCAUGCAGCCCGCCCGGACCGAGGACCGCGCUUCGGCUAGGAUGCUGGCGUAAUGGUUGUAAGCGACCCGUCUUGAAACACGGACCAAGGAGUCUAACAUCUAUGCGAGUGUUUGGGCGUCAAACCCAUGCGCGUAAUGAAAGUGAACGGAGGUGGGAACCCUCAAGGGUGCACCAUCGACCGAUCCUGAUGUCUUCGGAUGGAUUUGAGUAAGAGCAUAGCUGUUGGGACCCGAAAGAUGGUGAACUAUGCCUGAAUAGGGUGAAGCCAGAGGAAACUCUGGUGGA